AUUGAACGCUGGCGGCAGGCCUAACACAUGCAAGUCGAACGAGUGGCGGACGGGUGAGUAAUGUCUGGGAAACUGCCCGAUGGAGGGGGAUAACUACUGGAAACGGUAGCUCAUACCGCAUACUAUCAGCUGUGCCCAGAUGGGAUUUGCUAGUUGGUGGGGUAAAGGCUCACCGAGGCGACGAUCCCUAGCUGGGCUGAGAGGAUGACCAUCCACACUGGAACUGAGCCACGGUCCAGAAUCCUACGGGAGGCAGCAGUGGGGAAUAGUGCACAAUGGGCGCAAGCCUGAUGCAGCCAUGCCGCGUGUAUGAAGAAGGCCUUCGGGUUGGAAAGUACUUUCAGCGGGGAGGCGUUACCCGCAGAAGAAGCACCGGCUAACUCCGUGCCAGCAGCCGCGGUAAUAC
rnacentral:rRNA from 1 species